CCGUGCUCAUCCUCAGUGUCUCAUCGUGACGACACUGUGACAUGGUGGCAUGCUCAUCCUCAGAGUCUCAUCGUGACGACGCUGUGACAUGGGCCGUGCUCAUCCUCAGAGUCUCAUCGUGAUGAUGCUGUGACAUGGGCCGUGCUCAUCCUCAGAGUCCCAUCGUGAUGAUGCUGUGACAUGGGCCGCGCUCAUCCCCAGAGUCUAAUCGUGAUGAUGCUGUGACAUGGGCCGCGCUCAUCCCCAGAGUCUCAUCGUGACAACGCUGUGACAUGGGCUGCGCUCAUCCCCAGAGUCUAAUCGUGAUGAUGCUGUGACAUGGUGCCAUGCUCAUCCUCAGAGUCUCAUCGUGACGACGCUGUGACAUGGGCCGCGCUCAUCCCCAGAGUCUAAUCGUGAUGACACUGUGACAUGGGCUGCGCUCAUCCUCAGAGUCUCAUUGUGACGUCCUCAGAGUCUCAUUGUGACGACAUUGUGACAUGGUGCCACGGCCCUGCUUCCUCAGGGUUUCCUGGUGAGUCCUGGAUUUCCCUCGGGGGCCAGGAGAGGAGAGCAGAGGGAGGAGGGGAAGAGCUGGGUCCUGUGGAAGUGGGUGUUUGGGUUGGGGGUCUUUGGAGAGAAGAUCUGGGCUCCUGGAGACUACCCAGCAAUGAUCCUCCCUGUUCACACCCUGAGGGUCCCAGCAGGAGCAAAGCCUGGAGAAGCGGCCCCCUCCUUCCCACUGAGGACACUUCGAGGGAGCGGCUCUCAGGUCCCAAGGAAGACCCUCCUGGCCGCAGGAGACGUGCAGAUGUCGGGAAUGGACAGAAGGAUGUGUGGCUGCAGCCCUUUCAGCAGACGCCCUGGGAAAGGGAGGUCGGGGAUGGAGCUGACGGCCGGCUCUGGUGCGCCGAGCUUUCUCGGGCAGGUGUUGGCGGGGGUCGGCCUAGGACUGCAGCCUGAAGCCAGGAAGCCUUGCUGGGGUCUGGCUGUCUCUUGGUGCGGGGGGGCGGUGGAGGGAGCCCUCACGAUAGAGCAUUGGGGGGGUCUCGGGAAGACCAUCCCUGCAGCAGUGGGCCAUGCUCUGAGGACAGCGGACGAGGCCCCCCACUGCCUCUGAGUGUAGGGUGGUCAGUUCUCUGCACCGACUGGCUAGGGCUCCCUUGGGGGUGCAGUGCUUCC
rnacentral:lncRNA from 13 species